rnacentral:rRNA from 1 species
GACGAACGCUGGCGGCGUGCUUAACACAUGCAAGUCGAACGGUGAAGCGCCUUCCUUUUUGGUGGGUGUGGAUGAGUGGCGAACGGGCGAGUAACACGUGAGUAACCUGCCCCCCUCUUCUGGAUAACCGCAUGAAAGUGUGGCUAAUACGGGAUAUUCUGGGUCUGUCGCAUGAUGGGUCUGGGAAAGAUAUUGUUUCGGUGGGGGAUGGGCUCGCGGCCUAUCAGCUUGUUGGUGGGGUGAUGGCCUACCAAGGCGGUGACGGGUAGCCGGCCUGAGAGGGUGGACGGUCACACUGGGACUGAGACACGGCCCAGACUCCUACGGGAGGCAGCAGUGGGGAAUAUUGCACAAUGGGCGCAAGCCUGAUGCAGCGACGCCGCGUGAGGGAUGGAGGCCUUCGGGUUGUGAACCUCUUUCGCCAGUGAAGCAGGCCUGCCUCGUUUGUGGGUGGGUUGACGGUAGCUGGAUAAGAAGCGCCGGCUAACUACGUG